rnacentral:rRNA from 1 species
CGCGUAGGCGGCUUUAUAAGUCUGGAGUGAAAGUCCUCUUUUCAGGGGAGGAAUUGCUUUGGAAACUAUAGAGCUUGAGUGCAGGAGAGGUUAUCGGAAUUCCCGGUGUAGCGGUGAAAUGCGUAGAUAUCGGGAGGAACAUCGGUGGCGAAGGCGGGUAACUGGACUGCAACUGACGCUGAGGCGCGAAAGUGUGGGGAGCAAACAG